CGUGGCCCGGGCCAUACUCCCUUUUGAACCUCAGUUUUGUGCUUUAUGGUCCGGGGUUGGACUAGAUGCUCCCUGAGUUUUCAUUCACCUCUGGAAGUCAUUGGUUCUGUGACAUCAGAUGUUCUGGAGAACUCUGAGCUCAAGGCACUCAUGGGAAGGUAGUGUGGUAUAUGGGUUCAACCGGGGUGACAACUGUGUACCCCCUGGCAUGGUAUCCACCUGACUGCGACUCAGAUUGUCCCCACGUCAAAUAAGGACAACAUUCUCUACAAUCAGCGAGAGCCAGGCUCGGCCCGGUUAAAUGACGUACACGGACGGGGUAACCGGAGGGGACGAGGGCGAGUUCCGGACGCCCUUGACUUGACUCUAUGUUCUGACCGCGUGUGCUGCUGCUUGAUCUUAAUGAAGACAGUAUUUCCAUCGUCGGAAUGCAGUUCGGCAGGAGCCACAGAGCCACUGAUGCCUGGGCCCUUCGCGGAAAAACAAAAUGUGACGUUGGUCUCAACCUUUCUGUAACUCCAAAAGCCUGGGGGGAAAGAAAGGAGGCGACGACCCCAGCCAUCCCCAAGAAGUUAAGGUGGAGGUGAAAUGCAGAGCUUUCUGACAAAGUCCUUUAUGAGGAGAAUAAAGAAUUCUGCUGCCAAACAAGUUGAAGAGAUAGAAUUUGUUUAUCACGGUGGAGGCUUCAAGAUCACACGUCUCCAUUAGAGUCACGUGCGUCUUAAAUACCCACCAUUAUCAAGAGAAAAAUUAAGCCAAGUGUCUGAUAAGAAGAUGUGCUACACAGUCCAACAAUCUUCCGUGUUGUCAAGACGUCAGACGCAGGCAGCAAAAACAACUGAAUGAAAUAACUGAAUUCCCACCAUGGACGAAAGAGGGCUUCGAAGUUGGAGCAAAAGUAUUUGUGGAGUGCGGGGAGAACCCAGAGCUUCUGGUAUUUACGGC